GGCUCCUUGUGAAAGCCAAAUAAGGAGUCGGACCUGCCCGGUGAAUAUUUUAACGGCCGCGGUACUCUGACCGUGCAAAGGUAGCAUAAUCAUUUGCCUUAUAAUUGAAGGCUAGUAUGAAUGGUUUGACAAGAGUAUAGCUGUCUCUUUAUGAUUUUAUAGAAUUUUAUAUUUAGGUGAAGAAGCCUAGCUAUGAUUAAAAGACAAGAAGACCCUAUCGAGCUUGAAAAAAAUUAAUAGAUUAUUGAAUAAUAUGGCUAAAAAUUUUUUUCUAUUAAACAUUUUAGUUGGGGCGACCGAGGAACAAGAAAAGCUUCUUUGAAAAUGAAUAUCUUACAAGCAAUGAUCCAAAGAUUUUGAUUAAGGAAAUUAGUUACCGUAGGGAUAACAGCAUUAUCUUUUUUGAGAGCUCUUAUCGAAAAAAAGGUUUGUGACCUCGAUGUUGGACCAGAAUAUCCCAAAGAUGCAGCAGUCUUUAAAGGUUGGUCUGUUCGACCAUUAAAAUUCUACG
rnacentral:rRNA from 1 species